rnacentral:rRNA from 1 species
GAUGAACGCUGGCGGCGUGCCUAAUACAUGCAAGUCGAGCGAACCACUUCGGUGGAGAGCGGCGAACGGGUGAGUAACACGUAGGUCAUCUACCCAUUAGACGGGGAUAACGUUUGGAAACGAACGCUAAUACCGGAUAGGUAGAAAUUUUAAAGGUGCUUUCGGGCACCGCUAAUGGAUGAGCCUGCGGCGCAUUAGCUAGUUGGUAAGGUAAGAGCUUACCAAGGCGACGAUGCGUAGCCGACCUGAGAGGGUGAACGGCCACACUGGGACUGAGACACGGCCCAGACUCCUACGGGAGGCAGCAGUAGGGAAUCUUCGGCAAUGGACGAAAGUCUGACCGAGCAACGCCGCGUGAAUGAAGAAGGCCUUCGGGUUGUAAAAUUCUGUUAUAAGGGAAGAAAGACUAUAGUAGGAAAUGGCUAUAGAGUGACGGUACCUUAUGAGAAAGCCACGGCUAACUACGUGCCAGCCGCCGCCGCGGUAA